rnacentral:rRNA from 1 species
UACGGGGGGAGCAAGCGUUGUUCGGAUUUACUGGGCGUAAAGGGCGCGUAGGCGGCCGUUUGCGUCGGAUGUGAAAGCCCGGGGCUCAACCCCGGAACGGCAUCCGAUACGGGACGGCUGGAGACCGGGAGAGGAGGGUGGAAUAGCCAGUGUAGAGGUGAAAUUCGUAGAUAUUGGCUGGAACACGGUGGCGAAAGCGGCUCUCUGGCCCGGUUCUGACGCUGAGGCGCGAAAGCGUGGGGAGCAAACAGG